rnacentral:rRNA from 1 species
UACGUAGGGUGCAAGCGUUUGUCCGGAAUUAUUUGGGCGUAAAGAGCUCGUAGGCGGUUUUGUCGCGUCUGCCGUGAAAGUCCGGGGCUCAACUCCGGAUCUGCGGUGGGUACGGGCAGACUAGAGUGAUGUAGGGGAGACUGGAAUUCCUGGUGUAGCGGUGAAAUGCGCAGAUAUCAGGAGGAACACCGGUGGCGAAGGCGGUUCUCUGGGCAUGUUCUGACGUGAGGAGCGAAAAGUGUGGGGGAGCGAAACAGG